CACUGUUGAUAAGGUUGUUCCAACAAGUCCGAUACAGUCAUGAUAUAACAAUAUUGUUACAACUUGGGUCAUCAACCUUGUAACAUUCUUGUUAUAUCAUGACGGUAUCAGACUUGUUAGAACAACUUUGUAACAACUCUG
rnacentral:miRNA from 1 species